rnacentral:rRNA from 1 species
ACUCCUACGGGAGGCAGCAGUGGGGAAUAUUGCACAAUGGGCGCAAGCCUGAUGCAGCCAUGCCGCGUGUGUGAAGAAGGCCUUCGGGUUGUAAAGCACUUUCAGUCGUGAGGAAGGUAGUGUAGUUAAUAGCUGCAUUAUUUGACGUUAGCGACAGAAGAAGCACCGGCUAACUCCGUGCCAGCAGCCGCGGUAAUACGGAGGGUGCGAGCGUUAAUCGGAAUUACUGGGCGUAAAGCGCAUGCAGGUGGUUUGUUAAGUCAGAUGUGAAAGCCCGGGGCUCAACCUCGGAAUAGCAUUUGAAACUGGCAGACUAGAGUACUGUAGAGGGGGGUAGAAUUUCAGGUGUAGCGGUGAAAUGCGUAGAGAUCUGAAGGAAUACCGGUGGCGAAGGCGGCCCCCUGGACAGAUACUGACACUCAGAUGCGAAAGCGUGGGGAGCAAACAGGAUUAGAUACCCGU